GCCUGGAUGGCUCAGUCAGUUAAGCGUCUGACUUCGGCUCAGGUCACAAUCUCACUGCCCGUGAGUUCAAGCUCCACUUUGGGCU
rnacentral:tRNA from 1 species